CCCAGGACCUUUGCGCAUGCUGGGCCAGCACUCUCCCAAUGGAGCCCCUUUGCCCCAGUGGUGAGCUAUGAAGGUCCAUUGUAUGUCGGUGGGUGGGCGGACGGGUGGGCAGGGGCAGAAUGUGACUGGCACAGCAGAUGGGCUAUUGUGUGAGGGAAUGUGCCGCAUAUGCCUGACCUUUUCCUGUGUGGCAGGGGUUGGCGGGCUGGCAUGCCAGGUGGGGGCCAAGCUCAGAGAAAGUCUCCUCCUCCACGUCCCCCGGAGGGCCUGGCUGGAGGCUUCCUUCUCUGCGCCUUCUUCUUGGGUUGUGUGUACCACACAGGUACAGAUUUCCUUGGCCUCUCUGAGAGGGCUUAUUUUCAGAAGUAGGCUGUCGGGGUUGGGGAUUUAGCUCAGUGGUAGGGCCCUGGGUUCGGUCCCCAGCUCCGG
rnacentral:lncRNA from 1 species